UGUAAUUCAAAAUAAAUCUGUGAAUGAGAAUAGCAUAGACUCCGACUUUCAUAAUUAUUCCCAUUUGAAAGCUGCAACUUUAGGACAUUAAACACUUCAUUAGAAUUGUUUGUAAAAUACUCUUCAUAACUUUAAUUUGUCAAUGCUUUUAUGAUAUUUCAGUUAGUAGGAUUAGGCUUUUGGUCGUUCGGUUCGCAUUCCUAGAAUGCAUGCAUCAUUUCUGACUUAUAAUGCGUUGGUCAACUGUCAAGGCUUGUUCAAAAUUAUAUCUUUCUAUUGUAUCUUAUAUCUCUCUCAUUACUACCUUAGGCCUCCCAUGUGUUUGGGGUAUUCUAAAACAACUUAAAACUUUCUGAGAUAGCCUAGAACUCCGUUUGAUUAAUUCAAUGUUUGAUCAUGAAAUUGCGCGGCAGGAGAAACCUAGCAUGUAUUUAGCUGAAAGAAUGGUGUACUAGGCCAAGUCAUAUUCAUAUAAAACGGAGAGGAAAUAGAACAUUUGGGAUUCUAUAACAAUAAGACACCGGAGUGUCCGCUAUUAAAAUAGACUGACUAUUGGCCCAGAUCAUCCGAUAUUCAAGAAAGAGAGAAAAAAAAAAGAAGAUUCUGACCUGAUAUUUUGCGCUGCUUUGUGGACAAACCUUAAGGUCGAGCCUUGGAAAUGAUAAUAGCCCUACAUCUACAGUCUCUUCACUCUGCCCAGCUUCCUAACCGUCAUCGGAACAAAAGCAAGACAAUCAGGGAGCAUGGGAAAAUUCCAAAAGCAAUGGAUAGAGAUUUUUGCUAAUUUUGCCAGCGAAGAAACAUAAUCAAUUUAAAGUGAGGCCCUCUUGACCUCGGGGAAGACUGAAUGCGGCACUCCUGCUCUAAUUUUGAACAGGGUUUCCCAACUGCCGGCCCGCGGGUGCUCAAUUUAUUUGUAAUUAUGUUCCGAUCCCCUGACCAUCCACUCAAGAAGAAAUCGUCCUGCGGCUGAAUGUAGUUGAUGAUCCCUGAUUUUGUAGAAUAUACAAUAGAAAAAAACUGUUGAAUUAGUCAUGCUAUGCUUCCUUUCCCUAUUUCUCCGUAAAGCUGGUAAAAGAAACUCCAUUUAUAACAGGCCAUGUUGUUACAACAGAAAUGUUAUAUGGCAUCUUCUUGUUGGCACAACAGAUAUUCUCUCUCUUUUGUACUGCUUGUAUUUACUUCCUCUGUUUUAGCAAGAAAAGCUGGGCUGUUCUCAGAUCUGUUUGUACUGACUUGCCAAAUCAUAUGGUCAUUGUCAUGCCAAACAUGGUAGCCUACCCACGAAAACAUUUCCUUCACUAUUACUCACACUUGGGUCUCCGGAGUGGCACAGCUGUCUAAGGCACUGCAUCUCAGUGCAAGGGGCGUCACUGCGAGUCCCUGGUUCAAAUCCAGGUUGCAUCACAUCCAGCCAUGAUUGGGAGUCCCAUAGGGUGGCACACAAUUGGCCCAGUGUUGUUUGGGCGGGGUAUGCGUCAUUGUAAAUAAGAAUUUGUUCUUAACUGACUUGCCU
rnacentral:lncRNA from 1 species